rnacentral:rRNA from 1 species
UUGGUGCCUUCGGGAACUGUGAGACAGGUGCUGCAUGGCUGUCGUCAGCUCGUGUUGUGAAAAUGUUGGGUUAAGUCCCGCAACGAGCGCAACCCUUAUCCUUUGUUGCCAGCGGUUAGGCCGGGAACUCAAAGGAGACUGCCAGUGAUAAACUGGAGGAAGGUGGGGAUGACGUCAAGUCAUCAUGGCCCUUACGACCAGGGCUACACACGUGCUACAAUGGCAUAUACAAAGAGAAGCGACCUCGCGAGAGCAAGCGGACCUCAUAAAGUAUGUCGUAGUCCGGA